UGAGUACCUUCCAUUUAAUUAAAUGGAAGCAUGACGUGCAUAGUGGAAAACAUCCGACCGAAUGAUCGUGACAUCAGCAAAAUAAUCCUUCUACUGAAACCAAAGCAAUAUAUAAAAUUAGGAAUUUCAAAAUGAAUUUUCAGAUUUAAAACUGUAUCAUUAGUGCGUGAUAAAAACAAGUUUCGUAAAAUCGAGCUGUUACAAAUAAAUAUACUUUUACAUGUCGCAGAGAACUUAAGAGAUUAUUUCGAUUACCAUUGGCCAUUAUGAGGUGCAUUUGGUUUAUGUUGCUUGCAGAAGUUAUGAGCGUAGUUGAUUCAUAUCGACCGCUUACCAACGGGGGCAGUUAUGAAGUAUCUUCGUUUUCCAAGAAUGCUAAAUCAAAGGCAAGGAAAUUAAGAGAGGAAGCUUUAUAGUUGAACUAAAACGAGUUGAUCAAGCUACAGGGUGGGAUUGGAUGCCGAUAACUGUGGAUUGGUCCUCGUAUAUAGGUAACGGAAUGGUUUAUCAGAAUAUGAUCAUUUGGUUCCCUGAUGCUGCAGAUGAAAGAACGAUAGAGAAGUCUCGCAUUUUGAUAAACAAAUUACGAAAAGUUGCCGAAAUCGCGUAUUCUUGAAGCGCAAUCUGACUGGAUUGCAAGGUCUGUGCGAGUGAGAGAAUAUGACGAGCUACGAUUGGACGGAGGCUCAAGGAGGAGCGAGUUUCUCCUCAAGAGUGGGAGAAAUAUGCUCGAGGAUGUAGACAGGGUUGAAUAAAAUGAGAAACGCCAUCAGCUGGUCUAGCGCUUAUAACACAGUGUUCUAACUUUGUAAUAAUGCUAAUGAUUUGUAACAAAGAGUUUUACAUUAAGCGCUGCACGCCUGCCGGUUCAAUCGUUUCUGUUUCCA